rnacentral:misc_RNA from 1 species
UCAGGAAACUGCCAUUGAGAGAUCUAAUGAUUGCAGACUGUUGUGUCAGAUAAACUUGUUGGAUACAUGAUAAUAUCCAGUUGUCAGGAGAGACUGUGACUAUGGAUAUAAAAGCUCUAAGUUAUACCUAAUGAAGGGUAAGCAUGAAGGUUACUAGAGGGCAUUAGGGGCACCAGCAAGCGUCAACAACCCUGGGAAAAAUUGAACCAAUGGCCGUCUUUGUUGUUUUCAGGCGUCUGUAACCACUGAUGAAGAUGUGAAACUUUCUCAAUAUAAAACUAAAGAAAAUAAGUUGAAACAAGCAUAGGAAGUACUUUAGAAAAGAUAAUCGCAAAGGGCAUUACAGCGCAUAAUUACCGUUGAAAAUAUUGAAGUAAUGAUCGUCUUUGUUUUCGUUUUCAGGCAUCUGUGAUGAAGAAUUUGCGCUGAGAAAUAUAAAACUUGAAAAUAAACUGAAACAGAGAGAAGAAUAAAGAAUUUAAAGAAAAAAAAAGAGAAAGUGACACAGCACACGUCAACUUUGUAGUAUAUUAGUUAAGGGAGAGAACAAAUGGUAAAAAGCCAGCCAGUUGAAGUAGCCAGCACAGGGCAGUCAAGACUCCUGGUGUAUCGUGAUUACUUUUAAGUUUUCUCCUUUUAAUGUUAUUUUACAAAUAUUUUGUGUUGUCAUAUAAAACCUCCUACAUGGUGCUUAAAUAACAUAUCAAGAGUUCUCGUUUUACUGCUGGAAACACAUUUGUUGAAGUACCACUGUUUAUUAGUAGAAUGACUGCCAGAAACAAAGUGAACUAAUCGUUACUGUAUUAUAACCAAUUACAGACUAUAUUCACAUAAUGACCAUAAUGUUGAUGGUAAUACAAAGGUUAUGAGGUCAUCCCAUAUCAUGUUAUCCCCUAGAAGACACGACAGCAAGCUAUUCUUGAGUUCACAUUGACAGUAAAGUGGGCAGGAGAGGGAUGCUGGUGUGCCUGAGAAGGCUGUGACUGUGGUGCUGUGCUUGCGGAGGUUUGUGGCAAGCAGUAGGACUGCACUGAGCACAGAAGAGAAUGGGAAGUGCCUCAUCUAAGUUCAAGAAAUAUCUUCAACAUGGCGACGAAUUUGCUGCUAUGCAGGUGUUUCAGAGUUCUCCUGAAUUGCGUUCCAAUCUUGAUCCCAGUGCCAGCUAUGGGGAAUCUCAUGGCCACAACACUCCCUUGCACUAUGCAGCCAAACAUGGAAUGAAACAUUUAUUAAGGACCUUUCUCUGUGAUCUCGGUGGCAAUCCAAACAAGAAAAAUGCAGAUGACGAAAGUUCUGUUCAUUGUGUGUGUCGUGUCGGCCAAGCAAAAUCACCUUCAGCUGAGGACAGACGAGCUGCAUGUGUCGUUAUGAUACUUCAGUGGCGUGGACCAGUACUGCAGGAUGGAGAGAAGGAGAGAGCACAGUUAAAUGCACAAGAUAAGAAGGGGAAUACAGCACUCCACUAUGCGUCGGCAUCAGGUCUUCGGAAGUGUGUGGAAUUACUGGUGGCUCAGGGAGCUGGACUUUUUAUUGAAAACCGUGAUAGACUGACACCUUGUGAUCUGGCUGUUAGAUCAACACAUCAUGACGUGGCUACUUAUUUAGAAUCACGCAUGGUGUUUGCUGACAGUAGUGAUGGGGUUAAUGAGGGGGAGCUGGUUGGCAACGAGGUCGAGACUGAAUGUGACAACGAGGUAUACUCUGGUCUGCGAGCACAAGACUUACAAGAAGCAAAAGACCAAUUGUUGGUUGAGACAGCAGACAUGCUGCAUAUUCCACUCUUUACUGCCGAGGCUCUACUCAGGGAUAAUGAAUGGUCUAAGGCAUUGCUCUUGGAAAAAUGGAUGACAAAUGCUGUUCAAUGCUGUGAAGAAGCAGGCAUAGCACCUCCAGCAUCUGCUCUCCAACUUGUUGCUCCCACUCCUCCAAUGAUCACUCCAUCCCCCCCCAACUCUGUCAUUACACCUCCCCCACCUCCACAUAUUCCAGGGGAAAGCAUUGAGGAAGAUGAAGAUGUGGAGGGAGAGGGACAAAACCUGUGUGAAAUCUGUUAUGGAGAGAUGAGAGCCUGGGAGCUGGGGGAACAUGGAGGCACAAGUUGCCAGCACCAGUUUUGUGCCACGUGCUGGGAGAGUUACCUCACUCUCAAGAUCCAGGAGGGCGGGGCACACCAUAUCCUCUGUCCGGCCGUCCGUUGUAAUAUUCUAGUGGAUGUAGAUUUUAUUGAAAAGAUGGUUAGUCCAGAGAUAGCAAGAAAAUACUUGCAAUUUGACAUUCAAGCAUUUGUUGAUAGAAACAAGACAAUCAAAUGGUGCCCACUUCCGGGCUGUGGCAGAGCUGUUAAGUUCCCAGAAGCUGAGCUUGAAACACAACCAUUUUAUUUUCCCAAUACUAAACCUCCUCCCAAAACAUCCCAUGCUGUUGACUGUGGCAAUGGCCAUUUUUUUUGCUGGGAGUGUUUAGGUGAAGCUCAUUCACCUUCGGGCUGUGAGCAGUGGAUUGAAUGGCAGAGCAAAGUGGCAGAGAUCAAGCCUGAAGAACUACGUAUAAGUUCAGGUGAAACAGAAGAUGCUGCCAACUUCCUUUGGCUUGUAACCAAUUCAAAGCCAUGCCCAAAUUGCAAGAGUCCAAUUCAGAAGAAUGAGGGAUGCAAUCACAUGAAGUGCUCCAAGUGUAAAUUUGACUUCUGCUGGGUGUGUCUGGAGAGCUGGAAGAAGCACUCCUCAGCUACUGGUGGAUACUUCCGAUGCAACAGAUUUGAUGCUCAGAGCAAAGCUGAUGAAAAGCUGGGAGUAUUGCUUUCUGAAGCCACUGUUCGGAAUCAUCAGAUGCAAGAAUUGAAUCGUUUUAUUCACUAUUACACCCGAUUUAAAAACCACCAAAAUUCCUUGAAAAUGGAAGAGCCUUUAUUAAAAACUGCACGUGACAAGAUGGAGGUCCUGGCCACUUCCCUCCCAUCCCAGGAGCAACAAGGACAAGCGGCAGUAGAAAAGGGCACUCGAUUUGUUGAAGAAGGAGUGAAGGAGUUACUGAAGGCCCGAAGAGUACUCUGUGGGUCUUAUGUGUAUGGAUAUUAUUUAGAGGAUAAUGGCUAUAAUAAAACCAUCUUUGAGUAUAUGCAGAAUGAAUUAGAGGAGGUAACGGAGAAGCUGUCGGAAAUGGUGGCUCGUCAGUAUCUUGUGACACCUCGUGGGCAAAUCAUUGCCACCACCUUACUUGCUCGUCGCAGGAGACAUAAAUUUGUACGGGCAGUGAGUAGGGGUCUUUUACCCCCUGAAACUCCGCCUUCGCUUCGUAGAUCACGCAAGAGACGAUUGCCUGGCCUUAUGGGAAUGGACCCAGCUGAUGAUAUGGAGAAUGUUGAAGCCAUGGGCAGAGCUUUGGAUCCCUCUCAACCAUGGGUGAAGGACUCACGUGGCCGCCACACCAAUUUGGCUGCACUAUUAGACUGGCCAGAUCUUGAUUCUGAUGAAGAGGACAGUAGUCUGAACCAGGCACUGACUCUGACUCUUCUGGGGAAGUGCAACAGAAAGACUUGCCCCAGACCUCGUGCCCGUAACCCUCGCACUGGAGCUAUCCAUGAUUACUGCUCCUUGCGAUGUGCCCAGCAAGCCAAGUAUCUUCCAGAGCAAGGUGAUGGAGAGACUUCAUCUUGGGAAGGAUGCGAUUCCAGUAUGGAACUUCUUAUUGCCCUUGAAAUGUCUCGGCUCCAAAUGAUUGAAGACGAGGCCAGGAGAAGACUGUCGUGGCUGCAGGAGCAUUCCAGAGAACAAGGAUGGGAUGGAACUGGGGAUCCCAGGAGUAUUCAGGGGCGCAGUGAUGGUGCUAGUGGACCAGGAGCAACUCUAGCAAGUAGCAUUCUUGGGUAUGAGGUAUCAUACUGUGGUAGCAGGGUGACAGGAGGCCAGGACGAAGCCUCUGCAUGGCCGUGCCCUGAUGUAUCGGAAGGGGCAACUUCCUACCAGCCAACAAGUGCUGAAAUUGCAGUGGAUUACUUCCUAAAGAAAUUAGCCAACAAAGAGAUCAGCUUAAGUGCUUUGUUUCCAAGCACGAACAGCUGAAUGUCUUCACCCUCCCUCACAGUGUUGCCAAUGCUCUCUAUCUCUCACGCACCUCUACUGUCACUGCUGAAGAUGGUUGGUGCUUACCACAACAACUUCAGCACUUACCGAAUCUCAAUGUGGACAAGGACUGGGAUAAUAAAACAGAUAAGGAUCUCUUGUGUUUUCCA